rnacentral:rRNA from 1 species
UACGGAGGAUCCAAGCGUUAUCCGGAUUUAUUGGGUUUAAAGGGUGCGUAGGCGGUUUAUUAAGUCAGGGGUGAAAGACGGUGGCUCAACCAUCGCAGUGCCCUUGAUACUGAUGAGCUUGAAUACACUUGAGGUAGGCGGAAUGUGACAAGUAGCGGUGAAAUGCAUAGAUAUGUCACAGAACACCAAUUGCGAAGGCAGCUUACUAAGGUGCAAUUGACGCUGAGGCACGAAAAGCGUGGGGAUCAAACAGG